GCUCUGUGAAGUACCAUUAGCCGCGGGAAUAUCAGUAUGGUGACUCCUUACCCUGGGGAAGUGUACUUAGGCCACGGCUAGGUGAAGCCCAGGGAUAUUUCUGUUCGCCCAUGCAUCCGAGAAAGGAGUGUUAGACCUGACCCUGUUGUUUCUCCCAGCAGUGAGAACGUGGCCAUGGACAAGAAUUCCAAGUAGUGGCACUUCUGUAGACGACGCGGCCCUUUUGGGGUUACUACAGCCCAGGAAACUCACAUGCGACACGGCGCCAGCUGAAGUCCAUCUAGACCCCCGCAGACCCAAGGUCACAAGUUGAGAACCCCCUGCCGUGGACAUUCUUCUGCACCUAGUGGUGAAGCAGGUGGAGCUGCACCUUGCUCCGCCCAUUUGGAGACUGGUUCUGCACAUAUGAGUGUGCCCUGCAGCGAUCCUGCAAUCCUUCGUGACUAACAAGGACUUUCUGUGAAAACAGAUUUAUCUUUUCUUCUCUACCUUUAAGGUUUCUUGCUGUUGAGAAUAGUUAAGGGACGAGGAAUUCUUAUUGCCCCCAUUUUACAGGCAAAGAAACUAAUGCUGACCCCAACCUUACCGACCACUUGGAGGUCCCUAAAAACACAUGACCUUUGUGUUUCUCGGCUGUUAGUGGAAUCCUUUCUGUCUGCUCAUGAACUCAUCUUCAAACGCAUUCCAGGCCUUCAGAACUCUUCCGUGAGCGCAAGUCACUGAUUGCACUAGAAAGAACCACAUGGGGUUUAUUCUUCCCUCUUUCAAGAAACCUAAUGAAAUUGGGCUGAGAUUCCAAGGAACUCCUGGAAAAGAGUUAUCAGUGCCAGAAUGAAAGAUCCUAGAGGCAGAGCCCACCGUUCUACUCUAUUUAUAGUGGUGAAAGAGAAAUAUACCUCUUACCUAAGUAGACCUGCCUGAAGACCUGCCUUGACCUACAGCAUUCCUGAGAUGACUGUGCCAAUCAAGUCCCUUUGGAGCCCUGGUUUUCUCAUAUUCAUGGUGUUGUGUAUUCAGGGCUUAUUAAGGCAUGUAAGUUAACUGAAGAGAAGAAGCUUUCUUUGUGUUCUCUGAGAAUAGGUCUUAUGGGCUUGGUUGUUGACCAAAUUGGGUGUCAAAGUCAGAAAACUUAAAGGAGAUGAAAAGAUCAAAGCUCCUGCCCGAGGCCCCCUUUAGGCCCUUAGGUACCCAAUUUUGAAAGACAUAGCACCUGCCCUAAGGAAAUCACAGCCUAAGAAGAAGGCAGGUAUUUAAGUAGGUGAAUAAAAUACCUUAUGGUAAGUGCUCUGCUAGUGGUGAGCAUGCAUUUGACAGAAACUAAGAGAAGAGAACAAAGCUACCAUGGAAAGGUGGGGAGAGGGUCAAGGAAGACUUCUUGUAGGAGGUGCCACAAAUACUGUGUUUUUGUUUUUUUAUUUAUUUGAGAUGGAGUCUCGCUCUGUCACCCAGGCUGG
rnacentral:lncRNA from 1 species